UACGUAGGCAGCGAGCGUUGUUCGGAGUUACUGGGCGUAAAGGGUGUGUAGGCGGUUGUUUAAGUUUGGUGUGAAAUCUCCCGGCUCAACUGGGAGGGUGCGCCGAAUACUGAAUGACUUGGAGUGCGGGAGAGGAGAGUGGAAUUCCUGGUGUAGCGGUGAAAUGCGUAGAUAUCAGGAGGAACACCGGUGGUGUAGACGGCUCUCUGGACCGUAACUGACGCUGAGACAUCGAAAGCGUGGGUAGCAAACAGG
rnacentral:rRNA from 1 species